ACGAACGCUGGCGGCGCGCCUAACACAUGCAAGUCGAACGAGCGAGAGAGAGCUUGCUUUCUUGAGCGAGUGGCGAACGGGUGAGUAACGCGUGAGGAACCUGCCUCAAAGAGGGGGACAACAGUUGGAAACGACUGCUAAUACCGCAUAAGCCCACGGUGCCGCAUGGCACAGAGGGAAAAGGAGCAAUCCGCUUUGAGAUGGCCUCGCGUCCGAUUAGCUAGUUGGUGAGGUAACGGCCCACCAAGGCGACGAUCGGUAGCCGGACUGAGAGGUUGAACGGCCACAUUGGGACUGAGACACGGCCCAGACUCCUACGGGAGGCAGCAGUGGGGAAUAUUGCACAAUGGAGGAAACCCUGAUGCAGCGACGCCGCGUGGAGGAAGAAGGUCUUCGGAUUGUAAACUCCUGUUGUUGGGGAAGAUAAUGACGGUACCCAACAAGGAAGUGACGGCUAACUACGUG
rnacentral:rRNA from 1 species